rnacentral:tRNA from 1 species
CUCCAACGGUAGAGCGGCUGAUUCCAAAUCAGUAGGUUGGGGGUUCGAAUCCCUCUGCAC